CCACCAGAAAGUUGUCACAAAGAGGGUAUUGCCAUGCCUGGAACUAGAAUGGCAUCCCAUUCAAAACAUCCCAACAGAAACCCCCAAUCCUUCUACCCCCUAAAAAUGUCAACAAACGACAGUCAUUAAUUAGAUUAACUCAGUGUUUGGCAGCACAUCAGGUUUGAAAUGUUGCUUUGGUUUAGUAGUUCUUCUAUUCUUUGCAGUAUGCCUUAAAUUUUGACAAGUUUUGGUAAAAUGCAGAGGACUUAGAGUCUCCAUUUCAGAAACUUCAUAUCAUGCAUUCCUAUCUAUGGCAACUGUUAUUUUCCUCAUAGUUUUGGAUAUCAUUUUUAAAUUUCAAUUUUGUAAACCAUGUGAAAUGACAAUCUUGUUUUGCCUUGUGUUGUUACAGAUGUCCAUUAUACAAAUCAUGAUUGACAACUAUCAUCAAAUAUUUGGAAAUGACAAUAUAUUUUAUAAAUGUAUUGACAGAAGAUCUGAGGAUUUAAAGACUUGUGCAGAUUCAAUAAACUCUUCUGGCAAAUCACCUAUUAUGAAAGAAUUCCUAGCUGGCCACAAGAAAACAUGCAAUAAUGGUGAAAAAUUAAAAAUUUCAUUCAUUCCUCUGCAGGAGGAAGGUCCUACAGGACAGAACAGAACAACUACCACAUAUAAGUGAUAGAAGAUGACUGAAGACAUUAUAAGGUCAUUCUAUUUUAAUGUUCCCUUCUACCUUCCACUUAAUCAUAGCAGAACAAUUAUUACAACAUCCUGCUUCAGCAUUCAUAUGCUAUCAUAAUAAAUGUUAUAAUAAAUAAAA
rnacentral:lncRNA from 1 species